ACACACACACACACACACACACACACACACUCAUAUUAUAUGCAUUUUUAAAUAUGUACCAGUUUUAGUAAAUAAAACAAUUUAUGUAAGUUUCAAUAGUGAGCUUUUGGACAAAACGACAAAAAAUAAUAGCUGAUGUUGAAUAUUGCCUAAAAGAUUACCAAUAUCAAGCAAUAUUUCACAUUUACCAAAAGAAGUACAAUCAUUGUAUUUAAAGAGUAUAUCAGAUCGAAAACUUUCAACUGAGAGUGUUAUUCCUUCAGGUGCAAAUAAUAUUGAUUGUGAAAUGAACUCUGACAGUAAUCUAACAAUUUCUGAUUCUGAAUCUUACCCAUUAGAGUCAUCAGAUUUUGAAACAAUUGAUGAAUAACAAUGAUGAACUAAAAAAUGAUUUGAUGCAGUGGGCAGUUAAGUUUGCUAUAACCGAUGAAGCAUUAGCAUCUUUUUUAAAAUUUUUGAGUAAAUUGUUUCCUGAAUUGCCAAAGGAUCCACGCACUCUACGUCAAAGUCUUUUGUACCUGUUACCAAUAUAACUGGAGGACAGUAUUGUCAUUUUGGCAUUAGACAAGGAGCUGUAAAAAGAAAUCCUGCAACAACUUUAGCAACUGAAUCAGAUUUUCAAUAUGAGGUUGUGCGUUUUUUGCGUGGUGCAUCAGACCACAAUGGCGGACAAAAAGUUAAACAAGACUAAAAAAAACAAACAAGCCAAGAAAAAAGUGAUGCCUACAUUAAGUUUUCCAAUGCUAUUAAAUAAAGAGACAUUUUUUAGUUCAGAAGAUGAAUAACAUUGUUAAAUAAAAUAAGCAUCUUUAUUUACAAUAACCUCUUGUAUAUGAGAUUGUAGAUGAGAAUUUAAAUCGUGAUAUUGAAUCUUACCAGAGAAUAAAAUGUGCACUUGUGUCUAAGGCUUAUGCUUUGCAAAAGGUUCACCAUUGUACUUAAGUUGCUGUGGGUUUUACGGUUUUACUUCCAACCUGGCAUAUAAAUGCACUUAGUAUCUGAAGUUAAUUGUCAAUAACUGGUGAUCAGACUAUUUCAAACAAACACGUUUUUAAGGGCUGAGAAGGUGAAAGUUAGAAGUCUGCAGACUGCAACGUAAAUCAAUUUUCAACACACGAUUUCCUGAAUAUAUUUAGUUUUCGAUUGAAAUGAGAAUAAACUGAACUUAUGGAUAUGUUGAAAAUUAACUAUUUUACAUUUUAAACGUUCGCUAAACGCAAGUGAAGCAAUAGUCUAUAGAUGCAAAUAUACUUUAUAUUUUGCUUUAGUUUAAAAAAAAAUUAUUGUUACUUUAUUAUUCAUGUUGUAAU